rnacentral:rRNA from 1 species
AGCUAAUAGAUACCCAGGUAGUCCACGCCCUAAACGAUGUCUACUAGUUGUUGGUGGAGUAAAAUCCAUGAGUAAACGCAGCUAACGCGUGAAGUAGACCGCCUGGGGAGUACGGUCGCAAGAUUAAAAACUCAAAGGAAUUGACGGGGGCCCGCACAAGCGGUGGAUUAUGUGGAUUAAUUCGAUGCAACGCGAAAAACCCCGUACCUGGCCUUGACAUGCCACUAACGAAGCAGAGAUGCAUUAGGUGCCCGUAAGGGAAAGUGGACACAGGUGCUGCAUGGCUGUCGUCAGCUCGUGUCGUGAGAUGUUGGGUUAAAGUCCCGCAACGAGCGCAACCCUUGCCAUUAAUUGCCAUCAUUUAGUUGGGCACUUUAAUGGGACUGCCGGUGACAAACCGGUAGGAAGGUGGGGAUGACGUCAAGUCCUCAUGGCCCUUAUGGCCAGGGUCUUCACACGUAAUACAAUGGUCGGUACAGAGAGUUGCCAACCCGCGAGGGGUAGCUAAUCUCAGAAAGCCGAUCGUAGUCCGGAUUGUUCU